AGUGAACGCUGGCGGCGUGCCUAAUACAUGCAAGUCGAACGGAUUGGCGCACGGGUGAGUCAUGUAUAGCUAAUCUGCCCUACACUAGAGGCCAACAGUUGGCAACGACUGCUAAUACUCUAUAGUGUAGGAUGAGGCUAUAUUGUCUCAGCUAGUUGGUUAGGUAAUGGCUCACCAAGGCUAUGACGCAUAACUGGUCUGAGAGGAUGAUCAGUCACACGGGAACUGAGAGACGGUACAGACGCCUACGGGAGGCAGCAGGAGGGAAGAAGGCUCAAUGGGGGAAACCCUGAAGCAGCAACGCCGCGGGGAGGAGGACACUGUUCGGAGCGUAAACUCCUUUUGUUAGGGAAGCGGUACCUAACGAAUAAGCACCGGCUAACUACGUGCCAGCAGCCGCGGUAAUUC
rnacentral:rRNA from 1 species